AUGCUCACUUCAGCAGCACAUUUACCAAAAUUGGAACGAUGUAGAGAAGACGAGCGUGGCCCCUUGUGCAAGGAUGACACAAAUUUGUGCAGUGGUCCAUAUUUUU